rnacentral:rRNA from 1 species
UACGAAGGGGGGCUAGCGUUGCUCGGAAUCACUGGGCGUAAAAGCGCACGUAGGCGGAUUGCUAAGUCAGGGGUGAAAUCCUGGAGCUCAACUCCAGAACUGCCUUUGAUACUGGCGACCUUGAGUCCGGGAGAGGUGAGUGGAACUGCGAGUGUAGAGGUGAAAUUCGUAGAUAUUCGCAAGAACACCAGUGGCGAAGGCGGCUCACUGGCCCGGUACGUGACGCUGAGGUGCGAAAGCGUGGGGAGCCAAACAGG